rnacentral:rRNA from 1 species
GCAAAGGUAGCAUAGUCAUUAGUUCUUUAAUUGUGAUCUGGUAUGAAUGGCUUGACGAGGCAUGGGCUGUCUUAAUUUUGAAUUGUUUAUUGAAUUUGGUCUUUGAGUUAAAAUUCUUAGAUGUUUUUAUGGGACGAGAAGACCCUAUAGAGUUUAACAUUUGUUAUGGUCCCCUUUCUGUUUGUGAGGGUUCAUUGGGCCGUUUAAUAUGUUUUGUUGGGGUGAUGGGAGGGAUUAAUUUAACCCCUCCUUUUUAUUAUUAUAUUUAUUUAUAUUUACUUGAUCCAUUUAUUUUGAUUGUAAGAUUAAAUUACCUUAGGGAUAACAGCGUUAUCUUCCUUGAGAGUUCUUAUCGGCAGGGGGGUUUGCG